AGCAGCCGCGGUAAUUCCAGCUCCAAUAGCGUAUAUUAAAGUUGUUGCAGUUAAAAAGCUCGUAGUUGAACUUCAGGCCUGUCCAGAUGGUCCGCCUUAAUUGGUGUGUACUGUUUUUGGGUGGGUCCUACCUUCUGGCGAAGCGGCAUGGCCUUAGUUGGUUGUGUCGGGGAACCAGGACUUUUUACUGUGAAAAAAUUAGAGUGUUCAAAGCAGGCAUAUAUGCUCGAAUACAUUAGCAUGGAAUAAUGGAAUAGGACGAUGGUUCUAUUUUGUUGGUUCUAGGACCGUUGUAAUGAUUAAUAGGGAUAGUUGGGGGCAUUAGUAUUCAAUUGUCAGAGGUGAAAUUCUUGGAUUUUAUUGAAGACUAACUACUGCGAAAGCAUUUGCCAAGGAUGUUUUCAUUAAUCAAGAACGAAAGUUAGGGGAUCGAAGACGAUCAGAUACCGUCGUAGUCUUAACCAUAAACUAUGCCGACUAGGAAUCGGGCGAUGUUGACAAAAUGAACUCG
rnacentral:rRNA from 1 species